UACGUAGGAGGCGAGCGUUGUCCGGAAUCAUUGGGCGUAAAGCGCGUGUAGGCGGCUCGAUAAGUCUGCUGUGAAAGUUCAGGGCUCAACCCUGAAAUGCCGGUGGAAACUGUCGAGCUAGAGUCCGGAAGAGGCGAGUGGAAUUCCUGGUGUAGCGGUGAAAUGCGCAGAUAUCAGGAGGAACACCAAUGGCGAAGGCAGCUCGCUGGGACGGUACUGACGCUGAGACGCGAAAGCGUGGGGAGCAAACAGG
rnacentral:rRNA from 1 species